ACAUGUUGAUUUUCUUUGACUGCUCACAAAUUGAUAUUUUCUAGGUCAAACUCAUACCUCUGAUGCAACAUGGAUACAUGUAUCGAUACGUUGAUGAUCAAGAACGUCGUCAUUAUAUCCCCGCAUUGCUUGGUGUGGAAGAAGGCAAGGCAAGAAAAAUGCUCGUGUUGGUACAUCUUCUGAACACGUUCAAGCACCCUGGCCAUUCCAAACUUACACUCUGAAAUGUGUGUGAUGAAUCUGGAGAUAUGUGACUGGAAGCUAAACCAGAUUGAUGAAAAACAAGAGAUCGAUGCGUAUUACAGUGGUGAGGAUAUGAGUCUAACGAAGAAGAUUCCAAAUAUCCGAAUGACUCUCUUACAAAUAACAAAGAUCAAUAUUAGAAGGAGAAUCAAAUGAAAAUCAAUCAAAUAAAGUUCGAUAUUGGUUCAAGAAUCCAUCACAUGGAAAGGGAAGAAAUAAAAGUGGCUAAUGUGUUAAUCAGAUAUUCAUGUGAUUUAAAGUAAAUUAUUGUACAAAAAACAUGGACAUUCGUUGGCCAAGAUUCUGUGGGACAUCUGUUGUGAUGUUGAACUGGCAUGCAUGUCGGCAUCAAUAUCAAAGCUGGCUGUUUGUUUAUCUUGGGACUAGGCAGCAGUGACAACGCCGGGGAUUUAUGAGUGGAGGCAGCUGACAUGUAUGUAUUGGUUACAACUGAGCUCGUGCAUCGCAGGGCAACGGAUGCAAAUGAUUGGGAAAGUAACACCUUGACCAUUCAUGUGUCCCAGAAGAAGUGCAGAGGUGAACAAAUCUUCAUAAUCACAUUAAUGCCAACUGUGGUCACAGAUCGUGAACUCGUGGCUCUGAUAAACUGCAGACUAAAAUUAUCCACACACCAAAACCCGCGCUAGAAUCUGACGGAUAUUUGUGAAGAGGGCAUCCUUACAGAUACAUUUGCGCAGCCCAAGAAAUGACAUGGGAACAACUAGAAGUGGGCCAGUUGAGCAAAUUGCAAAUGAAACAAACAUUGGACUCCAUCUCUUAUUUCUUCGUCCUAAUUGUUUUACAAGGCAUAAUUUAAUACCUGUAGCCUCCCUCUCCCCCCUCAGAACUGUGCUGUUCCGCAGGAUCACCAUCCCUGCCUCCUCAAUAGACCCAUUGAGAGUGAGGAUGCAACAAUUCAAUUAGCGAUCCUUCAAAAAUGGAAACAGUAAUGAUCUACAUGACAUACUUAUUAAAUUUAACCAUCAGUCCAUUCAAAUUUACAUGAUCAAGGUCGACUCAGUCUCCCUAGUCCGUUCUGCUGUUUGAGUGUUCAUUAAGAGCAGAGGAGAUCUAACGAGGAGGGGACCUCGUGGAAUAGCGGCUACUGAUAUUCAGUUAAUUCACAGCAGAGGGCUAGAGGGACGGGAGCUAGAGGGAUAAAGCAAAAUAUUGCCUUGCUCUGCAACUUCUACAGGACCGCAAACCAGGGGCCCCAAACCAAGAUCAAAGAACAUACACAACUACAUGAAAACAAACCCCAACCAAACCCCGAUUGUGUUUCUGAUCGGAAACCUGCCGCCACUUGUGGGUAUUAUGUGCUAAUAAAAAUAUACCCCGAAGGGUUAUUUUUUAUGAUAUUAAAAACUAUUUAAAC